UGCGCAGGCGGUUAUAUAAGUCAGAUGUGAAAUCCCCGGGCUCAACCUGGGAACUGCAUUUGAGACUGUAUGGCUAGAGUGUGUCAGAGGGGGGUAGAAUUCCACGUGUAGCAGUGAAAUGCGUAGAUAUGUGGAGGAAUACCGAUGGCGAAGGCAGCCCCCUGGGAUAACACUGACGCUCAUGCACGAAAGCGUGGGGAGCAAACAGGAUUAGAUACCCUGGUAGUCCACGCCCUAAACGAUGUCAACUAGUUGUCGGGACUUAAUUGUCUUGGUAACGCAGCUAACGCGUGAAGUUGACCGCCUGGGGAGUACGGUCGCAAGAUUAAA
rnacentral:rRNA from 1 species